AGUGGACGCUGGCGGUAGGCCCAACACAUGCAAGUCGAACGGCAGCACAGUAAGAGCUUGCUCUUACGGGUGGCGAGUGGCGGACGGGUGAGGAAUACAUCGGAAUCUACUUUUUCGUGGGGGAUAACGUAGGGAAACUUACGCUAAUACCGCAUACGACCUACGGGUGAAAGCAGGGGAUCUUCGGACCUUGCGCGAUUGAAUGAGCCGAUGUCGGAUUAGCUAGUUGGCGGGGUAAAGGCCCACCAAGGCGACGAUCCGUAGCUGGUCUGAGAGGAUGAUCAGCCACACUGGAACUGAGACACGGUCCAGACUCCUACGGGAGGCAGCAGUGGGGAAUAUUGGACAAUGGGCGCAAGCCUGAUCCAGCCAUACCGCGUGGGUGAAGAAGGCCUUCGGGUUGUAAAGCCCUUUUGUUGGGAAAGAAAAGCAGCAGGUUAAUACCCCGCUGUUCUGACGGUACCCAAAGAAUAAGCACCGGCUAACUUCGUG
rnacentral:rRNA from 1 species